UUAGCACCAUUGUUGAUCUUCAACAUUUUAUCAUGGUAUCAGAGCAUAGGCUCCGAUUCGUUCCUUAAUCACUCGAUUUAGUCGAUUUCUGUAAAAGCUUCACUCAUUUUUCUCUUUUUCGAGAUUUUUUUGAUUCGCCUUAAUUAGGGCAAAAUUGCAUAAGGUAAUUACACCUAUUAAUUUCUGAUUGCUAUUCCAUAGUGAGACGAUUCCUACAUUUUUGAAUCAUGGCAACGGACAAGUGAAGCCCUAGAAUCAUCUAGCCCGCUGUACAUGUAUCCGUCAGAGAACGCCGGAAUGAUGCUGAUACUGACGGCUUUCGAAGCUACUAGUUAUAGAUCCUGGAGAAGAGGAGUGCUUAGGGAAUUAUCGGUGAAGAACAAUGUUAGUUUUACACUGGAAAGGUUAAGAAGCUAGAUCCAAUUCACGCCACUUUCAAUCAAUGGGAAUGAUGUGACGAUAUGGUCACCUCCUAGAUUCUCAACCCGCUUUCAAAAGAUUUAGCUGAUAGUUUGCCAGUAUGUUAAGGAUGUGAUGGAGUUAUGACAUGAAUUGGAAGAUAGAUAUGACCAAACUGAUGGUGACAAAUUAUAUCAGCUUCAAAAGGAAAUCAGUGAUCUAAGUCAAGGAACUCUUAACAUUACUAGAUACUAUACCAAAAUGAAAAAGCUUUUGGAAGGAUUUAACAACUUGAAUGCGCAAGCUCUGUGCAAUUGCACCUGCACUUGUGGAGCUAAGGAAAAUAUACCCAAGGCGGAACAGGAUAGACGAUUAAUUCAGUUCUUAAUGGGAUUAAAUGAGGUGUACACUGUGGUGAGAGGCAGUAUCUUGAUGAUGAACCACUACUCAGCAUUGCACAAGCAUUUUUCAUACUAAUUCAAGAGGAGAAACAGAGGGAAGUUAAGCCACACAAUCAGAUCUCUUAAUAUAAGUAAAGGAAACAACAAUUUUAGGACUAAUUACAACUCAAGUGGAUAUAAUACUGGAAAUGCUGGAAACAAUGCAAAUAGAGGAGGAUGCACUUCGAACAAACCUCGCCUGUUUUGUGACUACUAUAAGAGGCCAUGACAUAGUAAGGAUAAAUGUUUUAAACUCCAUGAAUAUCCUCAGAAUUCAAGAUAUCCCAGCUAUGGUAACAAUAAUACAGGGAAAAAAAUUGCAUCAAAUGUGUUUGGGACACCAAAUGAUGGACCUAAUGCUUCAGAAGUCGAAUGAGAUCAUCAUGAAGAGGGAAGACUUAUGAAUCACCUGACUCAAGAGCAAUAUGGACAACUUCUCAACAUUGUAGAAAAUCUCCAAGUAGGAAACACAAGGGAGAAGCCAGGAAACAUGAAGCUGUCUGUUGGAGCUGUGAACUUUGGAGGUACAAUCGCUUGUUCUUCUUCUAUUGAGCAUGAUAAUCAAUUGCGUGAAUGUUCUGAUUCAAAUGUUGAUAAUUGGAUCCUUGAUUCUGGGGCCACAAACCAUAUGACCUUCAAUAAGAAAUUACUAUGCAAUGUCAAGACCUUAGUCUACCCUUACUUAGUUUCCUUACCUAAUGGAUACAAAGUGAAGGUGACACUCAUUGUUGAUGUGAUCCUUAGUCCAAAAUUUAUUUUGAAAAAAGUACUUUAUAUUCCUAGCUUCAAAUUUAACUUGAUUUUUGUUCAUUCCCUAACUGUGCAACUAGAUUGCAUUAUUGUAUUUACAAAAUCCUCUUGUCUUCUUCUACAACGCUCUUUAUUGAAGAGGCCACUAGAGAUUGGUGAAGUGAAGGACAACCUUUACUUUCAUUGUACAAACUCAUGCAGAAGUAACUCAAUUUUACAUUCUAUACUUGACACUACUGCCUUGACACACACCUCACACACAACACCUUAUGCAUCCACUUCCACACAUGAUAAAAAUAAAAUGCAGUCCAUUGUAGGAAAGACUGUUUCAAAUAAUAAUAAUAAGUGCCUUGUUUCAAAUGUUUCUUCUUAUCCUUCCUUUGAUGCUCAUGGAUCUUGUGAUUUUGUUCAUAUUCCUAAUGCAUCUGCUUCUGAGAAAUUCAAUGUAGAUAUUUUGUAGUAUAAUAAAUUAUCCCAUCUUAGCCUUUUGUCAAAAUGAGGGGCAUCUUAGCCAUCCCAACCACCUUUGCACGAUAACAGCCAUUCUUCUGCCUUGUCUGUCCAAUGGCCAGGCAGAGCAGAUCUCCUUUCCCAUAAAAUACCACAAAAACACUUAAAAUCUUUGAACUGUUACAUGUGGAUCUCUGGGGUCCUUAUCACAUUCUAAUCUAUGAUGGUUACAAAUAUUUCAUUACCCUUGUAGAUGAUUAUAGUAGGUCACACAAACACAUCUUGUCACUUGCAAGAGCAAUUGUCUACACAUUAUUAAAGCCUUUGUUGCUAUGGUAGAAAAUGAAUUCCAAACUACCAUUUACAGAUAAUGGUCGGUAGUUUAUCAAUGCUGCCAGCAGCAUGUUUUUCCAAAGUAUAGGAAUCAUACACCAAAAGAUUUGCCCUUAUACUCCCCAACAAAACGGAAUAGUAGAGAGAAAAUACAAAUAUCUCCUUGAAACAGCUAGAGCAUUACUAUAUUAAUCCAAGCUACCUUUGCAAUUCCGGAGAGAAUGCAUACUUACCUCUACCUACCUAAUAAACAUAUUGCCAUCAUCCUCUAUAAAAAAUAAGUGUCCAUAUGAACUAUUCUACCAAAAAAUCCACUUUAUUCACAUCUUAGGAGUUUUGGUUGCCUUUGCUUCCCAACCACUCUCAAAACAUACCAGGACAAGCUUGAACCUAGAUCAACUCCACAUGUCUUCCUAGGAUUCCCUUUUGGAACAAAAGGCUACAAGGUAUUAAAUUUUGUCAUAAAAAGGAUACACAUUUCUUGUAUUAUUUCACAAAAAUAUCUUUCCAUUUAGUUUAAAAUCAAGUUCUAAUGAUCUGUUCCCUAAUCACGGUAGCCCUUCUUUCUAGUACCUCAAAUUCACUUGAAUGCAGAAAAUCAUGCACUAACUGAUUCCAACACAAGUGAUUCUAUUAUAUCUCCUAUUAAAUCAUCUCACAAUCACAAUAUGGUAUCACCAACAAUAGUGUCAGGGAACCAAGACUCUAAAAAUGCGCAGAAUACAAAUCAAUAUCAUAUCUCAUCUCCACAGUAUCAAGACCAAAACAACCCACUUAGUAUUGCUAGUUCAUCUUAUUAUAGCCAACAUACUCCAACCUUACCUCCAGAAAUACUAGACCAUGUAGAACUCACAAACCACCCACAUACUUGUAAGAUUAUGUAUGUACACUACCUAAACAACCUGUGAAUGACCACCUUGUGAAUACCUCACCUCAAGAUGAACAAAGUACUUCUUCUCUGUCCUUCAAUACCUUUAUUUCUGAAGUGCAACCUAUUGACAUUAGAGCUCCGGCCACUAAUAGUCAAUAUUUGGUAAAGAAUGUUUCACAAGAUUGUGAACCUGCCUUAUAUGAGGAAGCAAUUGUUGUGCCUGCAUGGCAAGCAACAAUGACUCAAGAAUUUGAGGCAUUGUACACCAAUAACACCUGGGAUUUAGUGUCACUUCUAGCUGGAAAGAGGGCCAUAGGAUAUAAAUGGGUGUAUAGGACAAAGCAUAAGGCAAAUGGGAGUGUAGAAAGGUUCAAAGCUAGACUAGUUGUCAUUUUUACAACAGGUGAGAAGGUUUCAGUAUAAUUCGCUCCAACUUGUUGAGUAAAACCCUUCACUAGUGAAGGGUUAUACUCAACAAGUUGGAGUGAAUUAUACUGAAACCUUCUCACCUGUUGUAAAAAUGACAACAACAAGGACUCUGAUUGGGGUAGCGGUUAAAAAGGGAUGAGAAAUGUUUCAAUUAGAUGUGCACAAUGCUUUUCUUCAUGGUGAUUUACAUAAAAAGUAUACAUGGAGACACCACUAGGUCUAUUUGUAGAACAGUCUAGAAUGGUAUGCAAGUUGAAUAAAUCCUUGUAUGGAUUGAAACAAGCUAGUAGGCAAUGGUAUGCCAAGCUGACAGAAGCUCUUUGUUCUAUAGGGUAUACAUAUUCUAUGUUUGAUUACUCCUUGUUUCAUAAAGGCAAAGGGAAUUCAAUAACCUUUGUAACUGUCUAUAUGGAUGAUGUUAUUAUCACAGGAGCUUACUUAGAAGAAAUUACCAGCUUAAAGAAGUUCCUCCAUGAAACAUUUAGAAGAAAGGAUCUAAGGGGACUACAUUACUUUCUAGGAUUGGAGAUACUUUAUAAGUGUGAUGGAUUUCUGAUUACAGAGAGAAAUUUCACUCAAGUCAUUCUUAAGGAAUUUGACUGUAUAGGAUGUACAACUGUGACUUUACCUAUUGAUCUAACAAUAAAGUUGAAAGCAGAUGAAGGACUAUCCCUUUUAGACCCUGGUGUUUGAGACUUAAGCCAAUAUAUGCAGAAUCUUAGAGACACUCACCUAAGAGCAGCAAUACAUAUAUUGAGAUAUUUGAAAGGGAGCUUAUCUCUCGGGAUUUUUCUUGUCUAACAGUAGAGACUACAGGGUAAGGGCCUUUUGUGACUCUGAUUGGGCAGCUUGCCUUGAAACCAUGAAGUCAAUUAGUGGCUACAUAGUAUUGCUUGCCGAUAGUCCCAUUAGUUGGAAAUCCAAGAAGCAAUAUACUAUUUCAUUGUUGUCAGUAGAAGCUGAGUAUACAACAGUAAGAAAAGUGGUUGGGGAAUUAAUGGCUUGCAAGACUGCUUGAGGAACUCACAGUACCUCUAUCUAUAAAUAUACCUAUUUUCUGUGAUAGCUAAGCGGCACGUCACAUUGAAAAGAAUCGUGUAUUUCAUGAGCGGACCAAACUCAUAGAAGUAGAUUGCCAUUUUGUACUAGACAAGCUUCAAGAUAGACUGAUCUUACUACAUUACAUCCCUAGUCAUGAACAACUUGCCGAUAUUUUUACUAAAUCUUUGCCAGGCAACACGCAUACUCUUCUAUAAGGCUGUAUCCUGUUCCGGUUCUGGGUCUAUUUGGGUCUGGCGUUCCGGUUCUGGCGGUUCCGGGUUUGGCGGUUCUGGCGGUUCCAGUUCUGGCGGUUCUGAAGGUGGAACCGGCCCGUGACGGUUCCAGGUACCAUCCGGUUCCGGUUCUGGCGGUUCCGGUUCCGGCGGUUCUGGUAACAAGACGCAUAGCCGAAGAUAAGACUGCAUUCGGUUCCGGUUCUGGGUCUAUUUGGGUCUACGGUUCCGAUUUUGGCGAUUUCGAUUCUGGCGGUUCCGGUUCUGGCGGUUCCAGUUCUGGCGGUUCUGAAGGUGGAACCGGCCCGUGACGGUUCCAGGUACCAUGCGGUUCCGGUUCUGGCGGUUCUGGCGGGUCUGUCGGGUCUGAUUUUUUUUUUUUUAAUUCAAUAUCUUGUAUAGUAGUCAUUAGUAUAGUGUAAAAUAUAUUUUAUAUGGUGUACUUAGUUAUUAGUAUAGUAUAUAUUGUGUGGUAGUAAUUAGUAUAUAUUGUAUAUAAGUAGUAUGUUUUGUAUAUUACUGGAUAAAUUGGUCCGUACAAGAUACACAUCAUUGAAUAUUUUCUACGAUCAUUUAAGUAGAGCAUUCCCUCUUAAACUAUGGCCUGGUCCUGUAGGAGAGUCUCUGAAUUUGGAGUGGGUGAAAAAAAUAAGGCGCGACAGCUUAGCAUUACAUUAAUUUAACGACUUUUGUAUUAUAUUAUUGUUGUAUUUUGGGAAGUGUUUACGUCACUAAGUCAAUCAUUCUUUUGAAAAUACGAAGUUCCCAUCAUUAUUUUACAAGGGAUGUAGGUAAUUUGGAUUACAUAAUGCAUGCCAAAGUUAUUAUAUACUUCAUUCAUUGUAUUUGUCGUCUUGAAUAAUUUAGUCCAUCCACUUAAGCAAACCACAUGGGUCAUGUUUGAUUGAACACAAUAAUCUAAUCUUAAUUUUGAGCAUUUCAAAGUGAACUUUUAUUAAAUCCAACGUAGACUACAAGGCAGG
rnacentral:lncRNA from 1 species